GAUGAACGCUGGCGGCGUGCCUAAUACAUGCAAGUCGAGCGAACAGACGAGGAGCUUGCUCCUCUGACGUUAGCGGCGGACGGGUGAGUAACACGUGGAUAACCUACCUAUAAGACUGGGAUAACUUCGGGAAACCGGAGCUAAUACCGGAUAAUAUAUUGAACCGCAUGGUUCAAUAGUGAAAGACGGUUUUGCUGUCACUUAUAGAUGGAUCCGCGCCGCAUUAGCUAGUUGGUAGGGUAACGGCUUACCAAGGCAACGAUGCGUAGCCGACCUGAGAGGGUGAUCGGCCACACUGGAACUGAGACACGGUCCAGACUCCUACGGGAGGCAGCAGUAGGGAAUGUGCCGCAAUGGGCGAAAGCCUGACGGAGCAACGCCGCGUGAGUGAUGAAGGUCUUCGGAUCGUAAAACUCUGUUAUUAGGGAAGAACAAAUGUGUAAGUAACUAUGCACGGCUUGACGGUACCUAAUCAGAAAGCCACGGCUAACUACGUG
rnacentral:rRNA from 1 species